rnacentral:rRNA from 1 species
GUGCCAGCAGCCGCGGUAAGACGGAGGAGGCUAGCGUUGUUCGGAAUUACUGGGCGUAAAGCGCACGCAGGUGGCAGGACAAGUCGGGUGUGAAAGCCCGGGGCUCAACCCCGGAUGUGCGCUCGGGACUGUCUUGCUAGAGACCGGAAGAGGAGAGCGGAAUUCCCAGUGUAGAGGUGAAAUUCGUAGAUAUUGGGAAGAACACCAGUGGCGAAGGCGGCUCUCUGGUCCGGUUCUGACACUCAAGUGCGAAAGCGUGGGGAGCAAACAGGAUUAGAUACCCUGGUAGUCCACGCCGUAAACGAUGCGCGCUAGAUGUCGGGGAGCUUGCUCUUCGGUGUCGAAGCCAACGCGAUAAGCGCGCCGCCUGGGGAGUACGGCCGCAAGGUUAAA